rnacentral:lncRNA from 1 species
CCAACACACACACUCAGCUUUUCAGGUCUCAGAAAGUAUUUUGCUUUUUUAUAAUUUCAGUUUGUGUUUUUUACUUUUUUUUUUUUUUUUUUUUUUUUUUUUUUUUGUGGCGGGGAAAAAAGAAGAAGUGUAAUUUGGGUUUAGGGUUAAGAAGGGAUGGUAUUUGAUUACAUAUAUGUAGAGUUGAGUUUCCUUGUAAGUUGGUGUGUGGCUCUAUCUUGUACGGGUCUACUGGUUGCAUAAAGUGGAGAAAAAGCAUUUUGGCUAGAGGUGGCUGUGUCUCUAACUAGUUGUUUCUUUGUUUGGGGACCCUUUUAAUCUAUCAAAAGACCCUCUGCAUCUUUCCUUAUCCUCUCUUGUGGAUGAUCGAUAAGAGCAUUUCCAGCAGACUAGUUAAUUUGUUUUCGAGUAAAAAACCGAUCAAUCUUUUAUUUCACCUCGCAACAUUUAUUAGCUAAACUCCAUUUUUAUUAAGAAGCCUGUCUAUCUUUUGCUCGGGUUAAGAGCAUUUCUAGCAAACUAACUAAACUUCCUUUUGAGUUAGGAAUCAAUCGAUCUUUGGCUCAAGUUAAGAAUAUUUUUAACAAACUAGUUAAACUCUCUUUUGAGUCAGGAAUCGAUCGAUCUUUGACUCAUGUCAAGAGUAUUUUUAACACACUAGCUAAACUCUCUUUUGAGUGAGAAAUCAAUCGAUCUUUGACUCAUGUCAAGAGUAUAUCUAACAAACUAGUUAAAAUUCAUUAUAAAUAAACAAUCAUUCACUCUGAAAGUUUACUCAGAACGUCUCCAUAAAACUAACUAAACUUACUUGGAAGUCAAAACACUCCUUCCAUAAACUAGCUGUCAAUGGACUUAAAAUAACUGAAAUUAGUUAAAUCAAAUUUAUGAAAUUAAAUUAAAGGUACACAGAGUGUGUCAUCAAAUAGGAAUACCACCAUAUUUCGUUUCAUUACUUUUUUUUUUCUUUCUAUUUUUGGUGGUUAACAAUUAAGAAGAUUGUGGCAAGUAAAAGUGCAUUCGAAUAUAAAGUUGAGAAAUGUCAAGGGAACUAUUUUAAAAGUAAGAUUCUUUAUGAACUUUCUAUCAUCUCAUGUUUAAAACAUAAGGUUUUACAAUAUUAACACAUAAUUAACAUUAAACUGUAAAAUGUCAUAUAGUCCGUAAAGAGCCAUAUUUUUAAGAGUUCUGUUAGCAUUCCUCGUAUAAGGUUUGCAUGUCUUAAUCCAUCAGUUUUGACAUUGCACGCCAAAGCCCACGAAUUAUCUUCAUGGGAAGAAGCGAGGAUAAUAGUGUUGAUCACAUGGAUCCUAAAUUGUCCACUCCUAAGCCAUACCACAUAUUUGGCACGUCCAAACGCUUGCAUGUCAAUUGUUAGGUGGGAUUAGACGCCAAUCACAACUUAGAGGAAGACUACAAUCCUAGCUAUGCCAUAUGCCGUGCUAUUUCAUUUUGGACUUGUAUAUUUGUGUCCAUGGAACAACAUUAUACACUCCACUCUCGUGUCUUCAGACUACCAUAAUAUUUCUUCGCAAUAAUUCUAUUUGGACAUCCGAUCACGUUUAAUAAUGGUUAGCUAUAUUAUUGUAGAUAAGAGCUACGCAUGUUAUUUUCUUGUGGUUAAAUAGUACUACUCUUGUUAAACGACAAUGAAGAUCGGACAAUACUUUCCUCUUUCCCAGUAAGGAGGUAAGAUCUCCUUCCUCCUAACACGAUAUCAUUUCAUUACUGAUGUCAUAACCAGAACGGUUUAUUAUCUCUAUUAUACUUUAAAGAUCAUUUCCAGAAAAAUUCAUUUAAUUUGAAGAUUGUUUACUCAUUCAUCUUAAUCAAAGAAAUUGAAUUCAGAUUCUUUGCUACUGUCAAAACAGGACUAGUAUUUUAGGAUUUUUUGAUAUUUUAUUAUUUGUUUAAUUCCUUUCCAAUUUCAAUUCUUAAGGUUUCCAGGGUUAAGUUACAUAAUAAAUAUGUCAUAUUGGCCUUAGGUUUGUAUUCAUUCAUAAUAUUAUCAAUUAGAAUUAGAGAUAUCUCUAUUUUCUGGUGGAUUCUGGAUUGUUAAUAGACUUCAGUUUAUUCGCUAGUAAAUUAUAGCAUGAAAUUUUGUAACAUCCCACAUCACACAUGGAAGUGGAUCUUGUAAGCCUUAUAUGUAUAUUCUCAUAUCUACCUAGCACGAGGUCUUUUGGGAGCUCACUGGCUUCGGGUUCCAUCGGAACUCCAAAGUUAAGCGAGUUCGCGCGAGAGCAAUCCUUGGAUUUGUGACCCACUGAGAAGUUCUCAUAUGAGUUCCCAGAAACAAAACUGUGAGGGUGUGGUCGAGGCCCAAAGCGGACAAUAUCGUGAUACGGUGGAGUCGAGCCCGGGAUAUGGUGUGGUCCGUGCCAGGAUGUGACAAAUUUCGUUCAAUUUCUCUUGUUAUAUAUCUAGUUGCGUCAGUUCAACACGAGGAUGCUACUUAUUAAAUCGAUUUGUUUUACACAUAUGAAUGGUCAUAUGAACUCUAAUUCAAAUUAAUUUGUAAGGAAUGAGUAUUAGAAGAUGGUAAAGGAAAUCAACAAUUUCAAUGAUGAUGUUUACACGAUAAAGCGAUGACGCGAUAGAAAAAUGAGGAAAGUAUUGUUCGUGAAAAUAUUAUGCACACACAUAUGGAAGUUGUUAAUCCUAUAUUAUAUUAUUUGUAACACAAACGAAUUGAACUACACUUUCAUACUUGCGAAGAUUAGUUGGAGAAAUAUUGUUGAGGUUAUCAAAAGAAGUGCUUUGAGGCUUUUGGAAUAUACUGGCAUUGAGUUUUACCUUUCUGCUGUUUACGCCUAGCUAAAAGUAGAAAAGCACUCUCUCUUUUUCUUUCUACGAUGCUAACCAAACGCUGUCUUAUUAUUCUCUCUUAAAAAAUAAGGAGAAAUGCUUAGGAAACUUUUUUAGAGCAAGAUUCUUUGUGGAUUCUCUGACUUUAACAUCAAUUUCAUAUCAAUAUUAUAAAACAUAAUACUAAAAACAUAGGGGGUGUAGAUUCAAUAAAGAGUCUAGAGUCUCUUUACCAUUUCUCAAAGAAAUGGUUUUCAUGCCAGACAGGUAGUAUAGUAAAGUUUUGAUGAUACAGAGAACAUUUUAAUCCAUGGGAUAAUAUUGUUUAAAAUAGUUCAUUAUGUGAAUACCUUUAAAGGUAACAGAUUAAUUUAUGUUAAAUACUGACGUUCUAACAUAUGAUUGGCUUUGAAAUUAACUUGGGAGAUGAAAUCAAAUUAAUUAAAUAAAUAAUAUAAUGGAAAAUUAAACCCUGGAAGUGAUGAAAUCUCAGAAGCAUGCUUUGAAGUUAAUGAUGAGGACCAUGGGGGCUUGGGGUUCACAAAGGAAUGAAAGCAAAGGGGGACAGAGAUCGACGUGAUAAUCUCACAACUCUCUUUGAAAUCCAAAACUCCAAACACCAUGCCUUCACUGCACGCACUGCAAUGGAGAUUUUUUGUUUUCUAAGUGCAAGAAGCUCUUGUAUUUACCAUCAGUUUUAACUCUUUCUCCAUGCAUUUGCUUUCGCCUUAUCUCUCACAAGAAGCAAACAACAACCCCCCAUUUUUCUUGAACUUGAAUCACAUAAAUUUCUUAAAUUCAUCAUUUCUUCACUCCCCAAAUUGCGUUCUCUAUUCGAUAAAUUAGCAAUUGGUGUCACAAAGACAAAAAAUGGAUUAAUCCUAAAUAUCGAAACUAGCUUCGGACAAGCUCACGAAGAAAAAAAUAGCUGACUUCUAUUAGUCAAGUUAACUGGAGCAGUAUUCUUUCUCUUUGUAUCUAAAUUCGAAUUUCCUACAAAUAAUUUGGGGUAAGUUAUAAUUUUGUGUUUGUCAAGAGAGAAUAAAAAUAAUAGAGAAACGAAAGAAUUGGUUUUCUCCUUUGGCAUGGUGUUUUUGUUGUUCUAUUCGACUAUUUUUCGUUUUAUAGAUGAUUUUGAUGUAAUGUUGAAGUUUACCAAAAUUUAUUUAUUUUUAUUAAAAAAAUGAAAGAAUUGACCAAACUCUGUAUUUUUGGGCAGAUUGAGUAAUGUUUUUGGCUUCCUAUGCAAAUCUCGUCUUGGUUCCAAAUCUUUGUGUGAUCAAACCAAGAAAUAUAUGAGAUUGGAAGUACCACUCAGCGUAGAGGGACAACGGAGUUUGUGAAAGAUCAUGCAUGUUUCUCUCCUUUUGAGUCAUGGACCUUUUUUUCUUCUUUUCAUCAAAGAAAUAAUGAGUAGUCAUGGAUAAAGCUGUUUGAUAACCAUUUUGUUUUCAGUUUUCAUUUUUUUGAAGAGGAUUAGUAAUGCUAUGAAUACUAAAUUUGUAGGUAAAAUUUUAUAAACUAAAUGAUAUGGAAGUUAAUGAUUGGAUUAUGACUUAAUUGUUGAUGAACGUGACUAUAAUAGGACACAUCCUUUGAUUUGCAAAUUUUGUCUUCCUAACGUUACUGUUUUAAAAAAAUGAAAACGGCGUACUUUCUUUAGAUUCAAAAUUUUAGCCUUUGAGUUUUCACUUUUCACUUUUUUGAAAACUGAAAGUAGUUAACAAACUAGAUGUUAAAUACUUUUAGUUUUCAAAAAAGUGAAAAUGAAAUGGUUAUCAAACGGCACCUAAAUUAAUUUUUUUUCACAAGCCACAUAAGAAUUAGAUUAGUUGGUCAAAUAGUAUGCUGUUUUGUUAAUCCAAAGUUUGAAUCAGCUUCCUUGUAGAUAAAAGUAGAAUAUCCCUUCGUCAAAACGAUCUUUUUUCACAAGAGUAAAUCAAGGAAUAGAUUAAGGAGACUGGUUUAGAAUUCGCCAUCCAAAUGGUGAAUGAAAUAAUGAGGUAAACAGUCAUCAAAACAUGAAUAGUGAAUAAACGUUAAUGCAGAUGACAUACUGAUUAGUAAGCAGAAAGAGCGGUCUGAUUAGGAUGGCGCAUGUUAAUUAGUUGGAAACUUGGGAAAGAUGGCAGACAGAAGCACAAGGCUAAAGCCUUAAUUAAGUGCAUAAACAAAUGUGAUUAAGUGCAAUGUUUGAAUUGGAGUCCUCGUGAGAGUUUAAGAAAACCUUUUUUGUGAGUGAAAGGCAAUAUUUAAGAGAUAAAGUCUGAUAAUAAAGCUCCUUUGGUGCAAGGCUGCAAUGCCAAAGAAGAAAAUAUUUAAAGUAAAUUGGUAUGGAUCCUUAUCGAUGGUGGACACUUCCAUUUUACCAAAGAGAAGAAAGAUGGUGGAUACAUUUCUAAUUAAGUGGCUUUAAUUUGUUGGAAAUUGGGACAUAUAUGUCAUGUGGAUUCACGUUGAACUUGUGGACGGCAAAAUUUGACUUUGGCUUAAGCUUUUAGGGUACUUAUAGGGAGACUAGGGAGAUUAAUUUAGGUAAAUGCAUACGUCGCUCAUCAUUACAUAAAAAUAAUUUUAUUUUAAUGGAUGAAAAAGCCUUAAAACACAGGCAUGUGUUUCACAAAAAGUCUCUGAAAAAAAAGCCAUUUGUCCAUCAAUUAUUUGCAAAAAAGAAACAAUUUUACAAAAUUGAAAGGGUAUGAAAUUAGUUUUUUCAGUGAUAGAUUACAUAUAUAUGUGUUUGGUAUUUGUAUAAAUUAAAGCCUCAUAAUUAGGGAAAGCAGGCAUAUAUCUCUUAUCUUUUGGACUAGUGGAUAAACAAAUCAACUAACACAGUGUUUUGCACUUUAAUUAGGGUUUGUCUAGGGCACCUACUAUUGCGUGAUCGCACCAUUAAGUGGAAAAAAAAUUCAUUGUGGAGGAACAUAGCCUAAUAUACUAAGUAUCACAAUACAAAUGAUUGGAGUUGUUUUUAUUCGAGUAUCAAAUUAUUUGUAUUAUAAUAUUUAAAUAUAUUAAAUUAUGUUCUCAGCACAUUAAAAAUCUCUCUAUCAAGCAGGGUUUGAUAAGUAGUUAACUAAAAACCUGUAGAAUAGAGGAUGCUUCGCUGGUACAUAUCCAUUGGGCCACAAAACUGAAGAUUGGUCCAUGUGUUUAGCCACCCAAAGGCCUCUGUGUAGAGGCUCGAGGCAAAGCGGCAAACCAACCUUGGAACCCAUUUUUCACCAAGGAAAUGAUUUAUGCACUAUCGUUUCUUUUCUUUGCAUUUUUUCUUUUGUUUUUGUCCUUCAAGUGUCUUUUGAUAUAUUCAAUCUAACAAUUUUUGAACAAACUGAAUCUAACAGUUAUAAUAAGAAAAGGGUGACGUGCGAGAAAAAGAAGGUGCAUAAACCGUUUUCAUUUCCAUUUACGUAUCUAUUUAGGAAUUAAUUAUUAAACCCUAAACUCUAACUCAUGAUUAUGUCUUGCAGUAGGGAGGACCUCUGCUCGUAUAUAUUUCCAGAUCUGUUCCUCACCCUGAUAAUACGAUUAUAAUAGCCACACUUAUACAAGAGGCCAUCACAUUCAUACCAAAUAAACACGAAAACAUGCACGCAUGCAAUUCAUCACUUUGCAAUAACCAUUCCCAAAAAAAACAGAAACAGUAACUCUCUAACCCUGCUUAAUUAAAAACCCUGCUAGACAAACGUACACAAUGUAGAAACUCAGAUAGUUUAAUGGGACAUCAACAUGGCAUAACUUGCAGGUAUACUGUCACUAGUACGUAAUGGCCAAUGCCAUAAUUCCGUAAAAUUCAUCCCUCGAAAUCUUCAGGGUGGCCUUUCGGUCCUUCUGUCUUAUUUCUAGGUUUCACCUAUAUAUAACCAAAUUCAGAAUUAAACCAGAGCUAGUACUGUCGAUUAAUUAUUGACUCUCUUAUUUCUACGUUCACCUUUUGUUUAAUUACUUUUAAAUAUUUGUUGGUCAAAUUGGAUUAAAAUUGAUCGAAUUAUACCAGAAGUGUGGUGGGUGCAAGUUCAACUGGAUGGGAUGCUGUUAGCUCCUUGAGUUGCAGCUGCAUCUUACUCAUGAAAUCCAUCGACUUUUCCUAAGUUUCCUCCGUUGCUUCUUUCAGUUUCACAUGUGCCGAGCAAUAUACUUCCUGGAGAGGCAUAUUAAUCCUAUCUCGUAGUUAUGCUGCUUUAGCUAUGGCGGUGGUCUCCUGUGGUAAACGGCGGCGGUUCCUCAUGGCACGUAUGAGGGUUAGGGUUUGUCCUUAUGCUGUUUGGUUGGACCAUUAAUGAAGCAUUUCAUUUCCUUUUCCGACCAAAGAUAUGAAAAGAUAUGUCUGCAAUUAUUUUGUUCAUUGCUAUACAUGCAGUGUGUAGCCAUUAAUUAAUUAAUUAUUACGUACGUACCUGAGCAUGCAUGCGAUGAGGUGCUCAGCAAUGAGAGCGAUGUAACGUAGAAAUGCAUAUGUGUGUGUGUGUGUGUGUGUGUGUGUAUGAGCUCCAUUUCUACACGCUUAAAGCUUCAAUGAUAGUACGUACAAAAUACAGGUGUGGUGGCCGGCUGAGGAAACAUAGAAAGCAUUUAAGACAAGAAGCGUAUCCAAAUGGAGAUGGAGAUAGCUAGGGUAGGCGUAGGCUUACUCUGAAUCUCUCUGAUUGCUUCAUCAAGUACGGAGGACGAAUAUAUGACAAAAACAGUUCCUGGGAGGCUGGGACGUCGUCUCUGGAGGAGUCAAGUGUGGAUCUAAUUUAUUCAGAUUCUGAUCACCCUGCAACUGCAAACACAGUUACUUACAGAGUCGUCUAUAUCUACACACACACACACACACACACACACACUCUUCUAUAUAGCUAGGCAACAGGGCAGGGGCCUGAAAUGCAAGGGAAGUAUUUGAAGCCAGCCCAGCAAAGCAUUGGGUUGGAUUUCAAGAAAUUGGCUUACGGUGGAACUUUUAUUUUUUACUUUGACAUUCUCUAUUGAAGAAAGCUAAAGUUCUGCCCAAAAUUAAUGAACAAGUAACGAACGGAGUAACCUAACUUUAGCUAUAUAAGUUCAUGCAAGGAUUUCGUUUAUCAAAAUAAUUUUACGUUAUAGACCAUAGACGUUCAUGAUUCCCCUCUAUACCCUGCUGUAAUGAUUCCUCUAGCAUUAUGAUUUUCACCACAAUAAUGGAUAGAAUUUUUUUAUAAAUAUGCAUGCUAUUUAGUAUUUUGAUUUAAGCUCAUAUCACUAUGAGAGUUUUCUGGUUCGACAAUAACGUGUUAGAUAAUCAAUAUCGAUUGUAUCGAAAAAGGUGAAAUGGUAGUCCAGUUGAAGCGUAAUGAAUAUACAUAUGUAAUCGUUGUGUCUUAUAUUCGUUCUGAUUCUCUUCUACCCUUAAUUUCUCGGGAGUUCCUGUUCAUAGCUAAUUAGCAUAAACAUAAAGGAGCAAUAUAUAUAACAUUUCCUGGGCAGGCAUGAAGGAGGAAUUAACUGAUGAAGCAUUGUUACAAAGUAGAUGCAAAUGUACAACCACGUUUAUUAUAAUCCAUUGUAUAUAACUUUUCCUGCAAAUUAAUGGGUACAUAAAUAAUACAAAGCAAGAAUCUAAGACAUGAAGAGCUUGCGACUUGACAUCAUACCCAGCAAGACAGAGAUGAAGUUAAAAAUCGUUCAAUCCUAAUUUAAGUACAUACAAUGGGAGUUUGUUAUACAUAUCUUAUCAACAGGAUUUUUCGGAGUAUUCUAUACUCCGGAGCACCAUGGAAAUUUAGAUCGUCAACAAACCAUCCCAACUUAUGAAAAAAACAUUAUGUUUAGAAUCUUACAACCACAACAACCAGCCCAUAUAUUAUGCAGGAACACGAAGUAAGCAUAGAACUUGAGGCACUCAUAAUCCCUUGGAACCAGGAAGGUCAAUCCAUUGCAACUGGAUUUCUACCUCGCCGCAUUCAACAUUUCUCAAUCUGAGGCACAUGUCUUGCACCACCUUCCCAUCCUUCCACAGGAUGCAGCUCUCUUCAGCUAGACAGUUUGCCCUGCUUGGUUGUAUUCUCGUCACUAUCGUGCCGCUUGGGACCCCUUCCAAGUUCAUCUUCAAUGCCUCUAUGUAAGUUGAGAUGCCGAAUUCUGCAUCCCCCAUUUUGUCAUCCUUGCUGAAUGUAUCAUGGUCAUACACAGUCUACACCCACACACAAACAAACAAACACCAUCAACAAACUCUUAUCUUUUGGUUUUGGAAGGCACUAAAAUCCACUAAAAAUCGAAAAAUAAAAUGAAAAUUUAUCUAAACAGGAAUGAAUGGAAAAUUGGAGAAUCAAACAUUAAGCUAUAUGAAGAAGAAGCUGUAUCUGAAGCCAAUCAUGCACUGUCAUGUGAGAAGUUAAAAUACAUAGCAGUGCUCAAUAGACUUAAGAUGACAUCUAAGGUGAAUCUUAGUUUCUCUCCUAAAGAUGAUGGCCGUUGGCAUCAAUCUUCUAUCUGUUUGGAAUUUAAACAUAUGGCUUUUGGGUAACUAAACCACUUAUGACAAAAGUUUGACGGAAAAAGUUAAAAGUGCUUCUAGAGCUUACCAGCUUGAUUGGGAUACUGGGGUCUGUGACAGAAAGAGUAAGAUCUUCAUUCCACUCUGGAUUAACAUCCUUUUUAAUUACACGAGUCUUCAGUUUCUGCAUCAAAAAGAGGUUUAAUCUUUAAAUAUAUAAAGAUAAAGAGAACAUAUUCCUGAAUUUCUUAUUCAACAAAAGUAAUAGAGGCUAAAAAAAAAAACAGAGCCUUUGUGAAGCGCAGCAAAGCACAAAUCAGAUCAGUCUAAAGCAUUAGAGUAAAAAAAAAAAAAUUUGGUAAUUGCACUACAGAAAUAUUGUGAGAAGAUUUAAAGAUCUACAAAUCAUAGAGAUUCGACGUGAAAUACAAAGGGCCAGCCGUUGACUACCUGACGCGCUCCCUCUCCUCCUCCUGUGUUCAUGCUUGGAACUCGCAGCGUAAGAUAAACUUACACGUAGGGAGUUUCAUACAAUGAAAAUACUAGAUUACAAGCCAAAUGAAACAAUUACAAAUGAAAGAAAAAGAGAAUUUUUAAUAAAGUUAUUUUCAUGAUGCAAAAUUAAAACACCCCAUGAAAGAAAUUAACAAAAUUGACAGGAAUUUAGCAGAGAAAUUCAUAAAAAAAGUCAGAUUAAAAAACAGAGAGAAAAACAGUAAACUAAAAGAUGAAGAAAUGGAGGAGGAGGAGGAGGAGGAGGAGGAGGGGGAGAUUACCUGUUUACCCAUCUUGAUCACGACGUAGGGAUCGCUGCUACGGACGUCGCGGACGGCGAGAUUAACACCGCGUUUGACGCGGAUUCGGAGAAGACCGAGCAAAUUCUCCAUGAGUGACUUGCAACUGCCUUUCGCCGGUGUCUUUGGUGAGUCUGUCAUCAUGUCUUAUGAUCUCCCUCCCUCUUUAUACUAGCCACCAACAAUUCUCGAUUAUUCGUUAUCACCUACCAACCCCAGUAAAAAUUAAGGAACUUUAACGGAAAAAUCACCGUGUCAUUCUAAAAGAUCAAUCUUGAUACUAUUUAUUUACAACAUAUUUUUGUCAUUUUUGUUAAAACUCAUAGUUUUCAAACCCUUUUCAUUAGUUUCCCUUCAAAAUUAAUCAAAACAAUUUUUAAAAAUAAGAAAUAAAAUUUAAAACAGGACGAUAAAAUUGACCAAAUGCAGACAAUAUAACAACAAUUAUUGAAAGUAUUUAUACGACAUACGUGUAAGAAAGAACGGUUGUUUCAUAGUUGGGAUUAAUACAAACAAGAUAAACGCAAUGAAAGAAACCCUAAUCGAAAAUGUAAUGACAAUGGGUACCAAAUAUUGAAACUAUUAUCAACACACGUCUAUGCCAUGCAUGUAAGAAACAACGAACGUCUGUCAUAGUUAAGAUUAAUACAGACAGAACAAACAUAAAGAAAGAAACCCUACUUGAAAAUGAAAUGACGAUUUGUUUAAAACAUAUUCUGAUGAUAAAUUAUCAGUACUGUAUCAACGAUAGAUCGAUCGACAAUUAUAACACGAGACAUUACUGUGAAGCCAGACUAAUACGACAUGAUACGGAGGGAAAAAAUGGGAAUAGGGCCCUACCAAGUUGGUACUAUGAAGGUUUUUCUUGGUAUUUGGUUUUGUUUUCUUCCUUUUGAGAAGUUAGGCUGAAUAUUCUUUUUCCUCUGUUUUUGUGAGGGAAGGGAGAGAAAUGAACAGCCACCGACCACAAGAGGGGUAAAUGUAAAAUUGAAACGAGGUAAAUUUUGGGACUGUAAGGGGAACAGGAGAUGGGAAGGUUAAAAGAUUUUUACCGUUUCGGCAUGGAGGAGGAGGUGACCGGGAGAUCCGGUUGUCAGUUUGUGGAUCAAUGGAUGGGAUUUAAUUGUGGGCAACUUGUGGAGGUUGACAUGCAAAUAUGUGAAGGCCGCAAAUGACGCUGUGUCUCUGUCUUAAACUAACAACUAACAACUUAUUGGAACACAUAUCAUGGUCUCUCAUCGUUGCCGUCGUUGUCGUCGUAGUGGCGGCUUACCGGUCUCGUCUUCCCUUGAUUGGAGAAAUAUGUGUAUUAAAAAUACGUCACAUAAUAUUAUCAUUUUAUGUAUUAAUCAAACGAUAAAAUUAAUAUGCUUACAUAUAAGUUGAAGUAAGUAAAUUUGAAUUUAGUAGUAACCUCGUGUGAAGAUAUUCUUGGUAGUUGGUACCAAAUGGAUCGAAAUCAUUCUCUUGGGUGCUAAGAACAUAAGGUUGUGACCAAUUAAAAUUGACUUGAAUUCAGUUUAUUAUUUGUUGUGUCAAAAUAUGAGAUGGAUAUGACUGGAGAUGAUGAGUUAUAAAUCUAUAAUAGAAUGAGUUACUAAGUUAUCCAUACACACGGGUUAUAAGUUAUGUUUACGAAGUCUAACCAAUUCCAGCCAACCCAAUCCUAUUCCUAAGACUCCAUUUCAUCCAACCCAUCAAACAGACAUUUAUAGUUACAAGUAGUAGUUGUAAAAUAAAACACAAUUACAAGUAGUUGUAAAAGUGAAAUACAUUUACGAGUAGUUAAAACUGUAACAGGUUCUCUCCCUUUUAGUGAAAUCUGUGUAAAUAAUAUCGUUUGUUCCAAAAAUAUAAAAAAACUAUAAUAGGUUUUGUUCCUGUUUAAUAUUUGUAUAAAUAUGCGAAGGCAGUGAGGUUGAAUCCUUGAUAAUUAUUCCAAUGAGAAGCUUGUUCCAAUCACAAAGAAGAUGGUCGUAAGAAGCAAUUUUGGUCAAAUGAAUCGAUUAAUCGAUCAGUCGAUAUCAAAGUUGUAAUAAAAUGAAGUUAUUGGUUAGUCCAAGUGGGGAGGCACCUGACUGAAAAUCAAUUUGAAAAACUACCCUUAAAAUAUCAUAUCGCUUCCUCAAUUUGUCUCCCUCGUGUAGAAGAGUUUGACAAAAGCUAAACAACAUCGACAUUUUUCAAGCAUAAAUUUAUUAUUUGAUUGGUCCAUUAAUUUCUUUCCUCCCAAUUGUCCUAUAAAGUGGAAUUCUCGACCCUAUAUAUUCAUAUAUGUUGUAGAAUUAUUGGAUGAAUGAAUGCCCACUUAAAGUAAUGAAGAAUUGGGAAUAGUGGUUGUGUGAUACUUUCAAAAUGUAAUCAUUUUUGUUUGGUUGGUUGUGACAGGAGUUGCUCUGUAAAUAGAGCACUCUGUGUGUUAUCAAAUACACAAUGCGAAAGAAAGAAUCAAAUAAAUAAUAUCAGUAUAUCUCCCUCCCUCUCUUUAUCUGUCAUUCUUUUGUGCUAUAGCUACUAAAGUUAUAAUACGAUAUUUUGCAUCCGUUUCGCUCAUGUCCCUAGCAAAGGUUAUUUAUCUAACUUUUGUAUAUUUAUAACAAUAUAUGAUUCAAUUCUUAGUUUUAUUGACCUAAAUACCAAAUUAAAAGAACAUUAAAAGGCUGGAUGUACGCCAAGAACACAAUGGUAAGGGUCAGUCAAGUGCUCGACGAAAUGCCUCACAGUAAAAGUUGAAGAAAAAAAAUUUAGGUGUUGUGCCCACUAUUAUUGGGAUGCAGCAAGAAUAGAAUUUUGCAUCUGCUGCUACUUAAUUGUAGCCCCAUAAACUAACUUUCUAGCUUCGUCCCCGAUGACAAGGUGAGAGAGAUGAAUCUCACAAGGAAAAUAUUGCUAACUAGAUUUAGGGGUGGGCACGAUUUGGUCUGGUACGGUUUGAAGUCAAAAUCGAAAUGGAACUGAACCGUUUGGUUUUGAUUCGACGUGGUUUCAAAUGGUUUCGGUUCAUUUUUACACUAUUGACAUACAAAAUGAAAAAAAAAAAGGUUCUGGACAUCAAAUUGCAGCUUCAAGAAUACACAAAACAAACUAGCAUUACAUGAAAGCAUGCACUUCCUACUAUACAAAUACAACAAGUUCUUCCACAUUCAUAAUCACAAUGCUUUCAAUUCAUGCUCAAAUGUUGUACCAAGGAAUAAAAGAUUAUAUUCAAGUUCAUCACUGAAAGUACGCAGAGGAGUUGCCCUAACAUUUGUAUUGCAGAAAGUAUGAAAGCUUCAAGAUAUGAAUACCAGAAAGUAUGGUCUGCAAUUACCAUGGUCAGGAGUAUUGCAGAUUGCCCGGUUCUAUUUAAUUUGGUGGACCUAGGUGGUGAGUUAAAGAAUUGCAACAGAUUAAGUCUUGAAUUCAGUUAUUGUGCUUAUUUUUGGGUUGUGGUUUGGUUUUGGUGCGGUUUUAGAAGUCCAAAACCGAAACCAAAUCGUUUUCCUACACUGUGGUUCGGUUUCAAAUCAAAACCGUUUCAAAAUUGCAAAAACCGAACCGUUCAGUGCAAUCCGAUUUGAUUCGUGUUUCGAUUUUCGGUUUCAAGUGCUCUUCCCUAACUAGAUUGAUCGUCUAACUGGAACAUACAUAUCACGUUUCUACGAUCUCACCUUUUAGAUUGUCCGUGAUUUUGGCGGUCCCUUUGUAUUCUUGUACACACAUUUUGGCGGUCCCGUUGUAAGUAGUAUGUGAUUGUGACAUCGAGCUACUCACGUUCCGGUCCCUCACUGUAUUUCUGCACUUUCCCUACCAAUUGAGACAUGCUAAUCAAAUCAGAAAUCUUAUCUCCUUGUACGUAACCCCUCGAUCAUGUGGUGGUCCUAAUUUCCCGUAAGGCAUAAAAUAUAUACAAAUUAAUUGAGCCACAAAAAAACGUAAACUAGAUUAAACACAUUGACAAUUGGCAGUUUAGUUCUAGCUGAUUUUGAUUUUGACUGGAAAGUUGAUUUGCGUCGUUCUCACGUUAAAGAAUCAAGAGAAGAGUUUGAAGCGGUUUUUUUUUUUUUAAAGCCAAACAUUAUAAAUGAUUUGUCACCAACAUUACUACAAUCUAGUAGUAUUUCUUUACACUUGUUAGUGAAAAAUUCUCAAAUUUGACUAUUAUGAUGUUACAGUUUCGAUAAUUAUGAUUGACUUAAAGCAAAACCCAAACCCUCAAUAUCAUUUUGUAUAUGAAAUAAAAACGAUAAAAAUGAAUUACACGUAGAAUGGCUUUGUGAGUCUUUCCGAGUUCCAAAAAAUAUAACUGUCAUGCCUUCGUCACCAGCUGAUCUAAUUUUUAGAGAAAAAAAAUUUACAGGUGGUAUCGGACCAAAAAAUAACGACAAGUGAAAGGCCCAAAAGAAAAUGAGAUUGUGAGCCCAAUCAUCUUAAUAAGAUAUCCAGCCCAGCCCAAAAUGAAAACCUCGAAAAAUCCUGCCGUUCAACUGUGUCAGAUUCCCGCGCUUUCAGUCGCAAAACCAGAAGAACAUGGACGACGACGGCAGCGAUGAACCCUGGGAGCAACUAGACGUCGACGAUUCGGACCUCAUCUCUCUCAGUCUCCGCCCUUGCAAGCGCUCCGCCUCCCAUUCCCUCAAAUCAAUUAAUCCUCCGCCUCCGCCCAACCCCUCCUCGUCCUCUUCCGCCUCUCCGCCUCUCAUUCCGGGCCCCGCCGGAGCCGUACAGGCCGCGAUGCAGCGCAGGACCCAAAUUCACCGCCACGGAGACGACCAGAACGUCGAGCCCAUUCCGACCCAAGAGUUCGUUAGGAGAGUCGUCGAGAAUGGUGAUGCUAAAGACACCGAUUUCGCCGCCGAUCCAUGGCUUUCCGCUCUCGAUUAUGUUGCAAAGCAAGGCGCCGACUAUCCGACGCCGCUGGGUUCCAUCAGGAUGGGGGUUAACACUCACAGAGUAGCUCAGGUAUUUCCAUUUCUGUUAUUAUUCUAGAAAUUUGAUAAAUUCAAAUCCUUCCCAAAAUCUGUUUGGCUGGUGAGAAAACACUGGAAAGAAAAACCCAGUUUAUCUGUUUGGUUGCUGAGAAAACACUGGAAAGAAACCCCCUUUUUAUCUGUUAAUCUACUUUUUAUUUUUGUAUAUCAUCAUAAUAAAAUAUUAUAAUGUUUGAAAACUCAUGUGAUUUUCUGGUUAAUUAGGUUGUUGCUGUGAUCAAAUCUUGCACCCCAAAUGGUCUUGGUGACUUCUCUAUGUUAUCUCUUUAAUGGACAUGGUGGACAUUGAUAAAUUAUGAUCUCUCUCUCUCUCUCUCUCUCUCCUCUCAAUAUCUCUCUCCUCUCUCUCUCUCUCUCUUUCUAUAAUUAAGGAUCUCGCGUCAAUCUUUUGGUUGGCAAAGAUCCUGACAUGGUUCAGGAAACGGCUGCCAGCAUCCACCACACAGUGCUUUCUGAGGGAGACUUCGGGAGAGAGCCAUAUAUUGUUGGUGCAAUUUUGUUACUUGUUUUUUGUUAUUUGUUUUCCUGAAAUCUAGCAGAUUGGGAUUAUGAAUAUAACGACCUGUAAAAUCUAGAAACGCGAAACGGGCCUUUGGGGUGUAGGUCGAAAUGCCAACCUCGCGAAAUUUUCUCUAAGCUUGAGUUCAAUGCUUUUUAUCAGGUUGCUGUGUUUCUCCCUCACGCUCGGCAUGCUAUCUUAACAUAACCAAGAACAACGUGGUUCAGGUGCGUUCUCUUUCUUCUGUUGGGAGGAUAAUUGAGUAGCGGUGGGCACAUAAACUAGAGAGCAGUCAUCUUUGAUCAUUUAACGACGCGUCUGGAGACUCUAAACCAUCAAUUUAGUUCCCACUUUUCAUUUCUGUGGCCUUGGCGCCGCAAUUAUGUGAAGUUUACAGAACCGAAAGUGAACUCUGAUCACUUUUUUUUUUUCUGAUGAUGAUACUUGUUUUGCAUGUUCCAUGAUGGUAGACCUGUCGUGACAAACGAUCUUCCUAUUUCAUCAGUCAACAAUCCCGCUCCCAGCAGUGGUAAGUCAUAAGUCGAUCUUCUUGUAUUGCAGCAAAACUUCUAGUGUCCCUGUGUUGCUUGCAGUGCGAGCAAAUGAGAUUUCUCAUCAGCAAGUUAUUUGGUUUAACAUUUCAGUAACAGCAGUGCGUAACUCGUACGAGGUUUUGGGCGCCGCAGGAAAAGUUCCCUCCGCCACAGGAGAACACCGAAAAAAUCAUGAAUCAUCUAAGACAAAGUUCUGCGGUAAGAGGGAGCGAUCUUAACAUUGAGAAACAUAUGGAAACAGAUCAUGCUGCGGUGCCAGGGAUGAGCUGCUCAGGCCACGAGCAGGGUGGAAGUCCAACUGCGGAUGUGGAGGUUCUUUCUUCAUCGGUGAAAACCGCAAUGCCUGAUGGAACCACAAAAAUGGCAAUUGGAAAAGACCGUUUUGACAACGAGGUAACUGCCGCGGCUAAGAAGGCCAACAAUCCUGGAGUGGACUUGAGGUGGACAAUCCAUCGAACCCGAGCUAUCACCCUGAUUGAGAAUUGGGAUCAAGAACUGGGACGCUAAAAGGCCGAGGCAGCCACUGAUUACGAGAGCUUCACUCCCGGAGUAUACAGAAGAAGAGCUGGAUCUUUUCGAAUUUGACUAGGGCGAAAAACGAUUCGUUAGGGUUUACUGGUAAACGGGUUCUUUCCCUCUUAAUCGAUCCAAUAGUUUGUAUUUUGGCUGAACUUUUCACAUCUACUCGUAGCCGAGCAUAUCGAAUGACAUUAUUUACGUUUACUGCAUCGAGUGAAACCAAUCAAAGUACAACAACGUAUGCGAAAAUUACAAUGCAAAGGCAAAGAUAAAUAUUGUAAUGGCUGUGCUCAUGAUCGCCUUUAAACCUCAUCUAAAAGCAACAAAAUUGGCAUAUAGUUACAAAUUUUGGCGACAAUAACCUAUAAACUGAUCUGAUCAAACAAUAAUCUAGCCCCCCCCCCACAAAAAAAAACACCGUGAUCAUAAGAGUAAAGAUUCUCAACUUCUCUCGAGUCUCGUCAUCCCUCUUCUCAUUCGAUUGGUUUAGACAUAUGGGAAUUGUCGACCGUCUAGUUUAAAUGGAUUUUACCUGGCCGAGCGAGCUUCAAUAAGCUACUGGAACAGCUUCCUCAAACUGUCAGCAGCAGCGGCUGCUCGUUUGUUGGUUGGCUCAAGAACAAGUGCAUGUCUAAAGUCUGCAGAAUGAAGCGCCAUUGAACCGGAGUUAUUUUAGGAGAUUGGAAUGAAUGAAUUAAAAACACACAGAUGUGCAUAAAUAACACGAGUGUAUUCCACGCUCUGAAAUAGAAUACCAAAACAAUUCACAUCUGCAACCAGUAGAAGCUACUCGUCCGUUGAGUGAAUUUGGCAAGGAAGUUGCAAAUCCAAUCUCAAAUUUCAAAUAUCUAAUUUGCACCCGAUAAACACUGUUUUCCUUAGACUUUCACACUAGGUUUCUAGCUUAAGGGUAGAUCAUGGGGGCAACACAGUCCGUCGGUCAGAACAAAAAAAAAAAAAUCGUACCCAGUGCACAAGGCUCCCGCUUUACGCAGGGUCUGGGAGAGGUGAAUGUCGGCUAGCCUUACCCCCAUUUAUGGAGAGGUUGCUCCCAAGUCCGUCAGUCAGAACAAAGAAUAAAAAAUAAAAAAACAAACAAAUCUGACCUUCAAUCGCCUCCUUGUAAUAACCAAGCAUCUCCCUUGCAGUGCCUCUUCGGAAAUAAGCUUUCACAUUCUGAAGAAACAUAAGUAGGCAACAAUGGGUAUAAAAACGCAAUCAAUAAUCUGCACUCGAAGAACACAAGGAGCACCAUAGGGCCUAUAGCAUUCAACCGAUAAUUGGGAAUAUCCAAUGAUUAAUACUUUUGGAGAGGAGUUACCUUUUUGUCAAGGUUGAUAGCUUUAGUACAAUCUGCCUCGGCUUGAAUGAAUCUAGACGGAAGAAGUAAAUUAGAGACCUACCCCAAGAUAUCAACUGAGAGAAUAAAUGUACCAACAGAUAGCGGUACCUUUCAACUUCAAGAUAUGCUUGAGCCCUGUUACUGUAAUACGUUGCAUUGUUGCCACUAAGUUUGAUAGCUUCAGAAUAAAAGCCAAUAGCCUUCUGCCAGUCCUUAUCUUUGUAUGCUCGAUUUCCCUAAUUAUUUUGUAAGGAUAACAGAAGAGGCUUUAGGAUAUGCAAAUGCAAUUCGGAAACGAGCUUGAAUAGUCGUUAUGCAAAUAAGACUUGGUAGAAAUAUUAUUCAUGUCAAUUCACCAUUCAACAAUGACUUUUGAUCAUCGGGACUGACGAUCCUAGAGGUACCUUGACUUUUCCAUGCAGAAUAAGAGAUAAUAAGUCGACGGAACAGAGCUUAAAUAAUAUUAUGUAAAUUCCAACAGAAAUUUGAUAACAUGAUGUCCUAUGUUACAAAGCAAAUCAACAAAGAUAGCAACAACUUGAAAAGCAAAAUGGACGAUGAUCACGAAAGCGAUGACCUACCUUUUCCUUGGCAAUUUCAGCAGACUGUUCCUUGGUGAGAGCAUUUUUGGAUGAUUUGGAUUUUGAAGCAAUAUCAGCCUGCUCCUGUAAAGAUGUGUACAUAGUGUGCAGUGCAUCCAGUAAAAAGCGAUCACCCCCAUGCUUGGCUAUGAAAGAAACUGAAACAGGACACUUGUCAUGAAAACCCAGAGGUACUGUGACCUGAAGAGGAGACAUCCACGGAGUACAGAAGAUUAGGAGAAACUAAAAUCAGUACAAACUUAUCACUAUGUAUAUGUAAUGAAUACAUAAUGAUACACAAAGAUAUUAAAGAUCGAAGACAGAGAGAGUGAUUGAUGGAUUUUCACCUGACAACAACCUGACAGGCUCGCAAUACUUAAGAGACCAAAAGCACGACUGCGGAAGUCCUCAGAGAGCAUCUCCUUCCCACCAAGUUUCGAAGGGGGGUCAGCUAUAGUUGGGAUAACCAAAAUUCCAUCAUCCUACACAAGCAAAUAAAAGAGAAAUCGUAAUUCAUAUAACAAACCUCGAUAAACACAUUAUAGAUAAUUACAAAAGGAAGUAUAAUUCAUAUUAUACCAUGUCCAGUCCAGUCCAGUCAAGCUAAUUUGGCUUUGUAAUUAGUAAGACAAUCUGUACGUAUGUGUGCUUGAAAGUGUGCAUGUAUGUGUGAAAUGUAUUGAAAUCGUAAAAUAUUAACAAUUAAUAAAUUAAUAAUCAAAAUGGCUACCUUCAAUAGAGAGCUGACAGCUGCCUGUAAUUCAUUCCUAAUUGACUUGCAUAUCUCAAUCUCCUCAUCGGAUGCCUCCAGUGGCCCACAUAUUUGCAUUGAAGUAGCAGACUCCAAAACAGGCUUCACCGAAUCAAUCCACUCCCCAUGAUUAUGUCUGAACUCAUGCCUGUAACAAGAAACACAAUAAAGCUCCAAUACUAUAUGAUCCAGGAAAAUUUUCGAAAUCAAAGACAAAUGGAUAAACAAAGUGAAAAACUGCCUCCUUAUGACAGCAUAUUUUACCAAUUCUCAGGUUGAAAAUUAAUAUUUUUAAAUUUUUACAAUCUUUCAUGAGUUUUAGCUUCGCCCUUCCAAUGCAACCAUAAGAAUACAUUAAAGAUAAUUGGAAUAGAAGUACAAGGACAGGAACAUUUGGUCUCAAAAUUAUGACAUAUACAGAAGACUGACUACUGAUAAAUCAGCUCACCUUUGAAGAAACUGCACAACAUUGGCAAGCAAUUUGAGGGAUGAAGUCUUUACUUCACCAUUUGUCUUCUGGCCAUGAAACUCUUUCAAGCUUGGAAUUUUUGAAUUGAAAUAGUCCCUAAGAUUUUCAUGUUUCAACACUUGUUCUGGACCAGUUUAUCGAGAACUCAAUCAGAAAAUUUUCAAAAACAGCAGUCCACCAUGGACAAGAGCCAAAGAAUGGAUCUCUAAAUCAAAGGAAAAGAACAUACUUCCAAAAAGCUUCUCAGUGGAUUUGAUAACCACUUGAACAAUCCUAUCAAUGGGAAUCUUUACUUCUUGAAAGCAAUCAUCAGCUAUUACAAUUUGUCUUGGACUUCGUGAAACUGCAUAAGGAAGUUGCAGCAGCACGUGUCCAACACGACGCAGGACACUUGGAUCCCUAGCAAACCAUCCUGUAAAUGUGAUCUUACAAGUCAAAUAAUAUCCCACAAUAGCAAUAAAUUAAGAGACAAAAAGUUACAAGUUUUCAGGCACGGAUGGUUGCACAUUAACAUAUAUUGCUGCAGCCUGGCAACAUACAGAAUUGCAUCCAUACAUACCAACAGUAUCCAGACUUGUAGAAACAGGUAUAAAUCCAGCAUGAGAAACAGAGCCAUGCGAAGCUCGGAAUCCAAUGAUGCCACAAGACCCAGCAGGUACUCUAACGCCACCAACAGUAUCAAGGCCUGCACCGUGGUGUUAGCAUGAAGUAAAUAUUACAGUAUUACACAUGCUGCACUGUUGAAAUUGAAGAGAGAGUUUUUGGAGAUACAAGGAGAUAAAGAACAUGCUGAGUAUCCAAAUAAGAGAAUUUUCAGAUAAGAUAGGCAAAGGAAACAAAACCAAGUCAUUCACACAUGCAUUUCCCAUGUUCAAAGACUAAUAACACAAGUUACAAAACUCAAGAGGAAAUGUAAAGAAAAUAAAGAACAAUUUCAGAAAGGAUAAGAAAAAGAAGCUCACCGAGUGAAAAAUCAACAAGAUCAGCGGCUACAGCCACGGCAGCUCCACUAGAGGAUCCACCUGGUGUUCUGGAAGAUGCUGCUGGAUUGGUGGGGGUACCGUAAUGCUUAUUUUCUCCAGUAAUACUGAAAAUAAACACGCCAAAGAGAAUUGGAAUUAUGUAAUCCAGAUUAAAGCUAGAGUUAGAGAAAUUGAAGGGAAAUAGAGAUGUCAUUAGUUUGUGUUGAUCCUCAAAACUAUUUUCCUUUUUCAUAUUGAUUAGAGAUCCUCACAAUCACAUUAGUGAUAUCACCUUUAGCCCGUCAAGGGAACAUUAUGCUCAUAGUGAUACAUACCUAUAUGCCAAUUCAUCCACAACAGUUAUCCCAGUGCAUGUGGCACCUCCUUCGACAAGAGUGGAAACCACAGGCGAUGUCCGAGAAGCUGCAUCAUGUGUUCUUCCCCAAUCAGGAUGACCAAAACCAGUUACAUGUCCCUCAAUUUCAAAUCUGCAACCAUGUCACAAAGUUGUCCACUUUUAACACAAGCAACAAGUCUCAAAAAUUACAACUGCAAAGCAAAAGAGAAAGAAAAAGUGCAUUCGCGUGUCUGUGCAUAUCGACUCAAUGCACAGAAAAGAUGUUCAUUUAUUCUUUUAAUGUCGCAUUCGAAUUCAGCCGUAACUGCCAUCCUGUGUUCCAUAGAUGUUCUGGUUUUUUUAUUUACUACUUACUCCCUCUCAAUCACUAAAACACAGCAAUUCUAUCUAAACCGAAACUUAUUACACAGUUCAUGAAUUUCAGGCCUUUUCGCCAUCCAGGUACCAACCCAAUUCAAAAAAUCCUUUCAACUAUCUACAUUAACCAUAACUUCAUCAGUUUUAAUAAAGCUAACCAAAAGGCAAAGACUGAAACUUUCAAAGUUCCAUCCUUUUCCUUUUUCUCAGCAGCCAAACAGAAAUACUUUCUGUUUUUCCACUCUAAUAAAAUCUUGGGUUUCAACUCUUUUUUUUUUUUCCAGAAACAAACAGAUGGGAAAUGGGUAGAGAGAGCGUACACGUCGGAGACGGCGAAGGUGAGGCCGGUGAGGGGAUGCGGAGCCUUGGGAGGAGCAGGCUGCGGCGGAGGAAGAAGCUGAAGCCGCUCAAUAAAGGCGCCAAAGUCUUCUCUGAUGGUCUUCGUCAGCUUCCUUGUCACCAGGAGAAUUCCAGCCAAACCCAAACCCACCAGGACCCACAGAUUGGCGGCCUGAGACGCCAUGACUGUGUCUUUCUUUGAGAUUGUUCGUCCGAACCCUCCGGAACUGCCAAACUAGCAAGUCAGGGUUUUAGAGAGAGAGGAGGAGGAGGAGAGAGAGGGAGAAGAUAAAUCAGCAACCAGCGCAGCGUAACCUAGGCGGAGAGAUGGUUCACGUGGCUGAGGUUACUUGCUGUCUACAUACAAUGAAAUAUCACGAAGGUCCUCCAACUUUUCAACUUUUUUUUGUUUCCAUUUGUAGGUAGGUUCUCCAAGUUUCUCAUAAUAUCAAUAGGAUCAUAAUUGGUGCGGAUGCCAAUAACAUCUUCCUACAUGUAAGGCUAUUUCCAACCAAGAGCUGGUCAGAUAACUCGUUUUAGUUAUCUGGUCCUCCAAGAUAUUAAUAUUUUAAUGAACAGUACAUUGUCAUAUUUGCCUCUGUCUUCAACCGAGGACCAUAGGGCUCGUUUUAGCCUUAUCACAAAAAACUGUCUCCAACCGAGGAUCAAAAGGUCAAACAUAAUUUAUUAUUUAAAUUUAAAAACUAUGGUUUAGGUAUUUAUAGGGAAAAAAUUAGAAUUUUUAAGAAUUAAAAAAAAAGCCAAAAAAACCUUAAAAAAAUUAUUUUUGAAUCCAACGGUAAUUGGCGCCAUCUAGCUGCAGCCAGCUAGAAAAAACACCAAAGUUGUCGGUUAUAACCAACAAGAUUGGUGUUUUUUCUGGCUGGCUACAACCAUUUGGCCCUUUCAAAUUCCAUGGGGCCCUAUCAGAUUCCACUAGCCUUCUGGCCUAACCCUCGGUUGGAGACGGUUUUCUGACUAUUUUCAGCCCUCUGGACCCUUCGGUUGGAGAUGACAUAACGAGAUCAUCUCUGGAUCCCUUCCUCCUAAUCCACCAAAUCAGGGGAUUCGUGCUGUUGAAAAUUAAUCCAACGGUUGAAGUUAUUGUAACUUUUUAAAUGGGCCCCUGGUUGUAGCCGUUAGAUCACAACUUACCAACGAGCACCGAAGCAUGAAGUAAGCUCGAUCCCUGCUUCUUGAGUGAUUAGAGGAGUGGAUUCAUAUGAUAAUCCCUUGUUGUUUCCUUCCAUAACACAUGUAUAUGGUGAUAUAAAUCAUCAAUCUACAAAAGGAGCAUAGUGAGUUAGAAUCUUAACGGAAUUUAAUAAUACAGCUAAUUCUAUAAUAUAUGGGGCAAUAAUAAGUAGAUUCUAUGACGAAAAAUUUCUAUUUGACUUAAACAUGUGUAAUAUAUAUCGCCAACAUUUUUCGAAUAACGUCAUGAAAUAUUUCACACAAAAAUUAAAAUAAGUAAAUCAGACUUUUACCUGCUGAACGAAUGGAAUGGGAUCAUAUCUCGUCGAUGGACGCACUCAUCACCGGAUCGACUUGCAAAAAGGAAAGAGGACUGAGACUAGGAAGUGGAGGUUGGGAUGAUGGGUAACUAACCACCUCGUUGGGUCUUCACAAGUCCAAGGUAAAAGGGUUCUAAGCAAUCGGUAAUAAUAAGUAUAUUUAGUGGUUAUGGAAUAUUGAAAGGUAGCAAGCGGCUCGAUACGAAGAAUCAUACUUUUAGUUUAUCUUUGAAUAUUCACUAGCAAUAUUAUAUUCUAUAAAGCUACUUUAAGAGAGAAAGAAUGAGAGUUAAAAAU